GCCAGAACCAUAUCAGCCUGCAGCUCUCACCUGGUUUCCCCCUGAAGGGUAGGGUUGAGCCUGGUCAGUACCUGGAUGGGAGACCUCCUUGGGAAAACUAAGGUUGCUGCUGGAA
rnacentral:rRNA from 1 species